rnacentral:lncRNA from 1 species
GGUCACACUCUUGACUUAUGUUUUUAAAAAUUUUGUUUUGUAAAAAUAAUCCCAAUUUAUUUUCCUACCUUUCUUACUUUGCUAGAUUUGUAGAGAGAUUCAUCUUCUUAUAUUUCACUUUCAAUAAUAUUCAAAUUCUUAUUUUAGAUAGUGGAUACUACAUCAACCAAAAUCCCACUUCAUUCUCUCACUUUUUUUUUUAAAAUUUAUUUUAUAAUAAUGGUGUUUGAAUCAGCUUGCAGAACGAAAAAUAUUAAUGUUUGUUAUUAGUAUAAGAACGGAUGAAAAGAAAUCAUAUAAUUUUUUUUUCAUGUCAUGAUUUUUCAUUGUUUGUUAGGUCACACUCUUCGACUUAUGUUUUUAAAAAUUUUAUUUCUUUUAAUUAUAAUGUUUGUAUUAAUUUGUGCUAUUCAAGACUAAUAAAGGGA